rnacentral:rRNA from 1 species
GAUGAACGCUGGCGGCGUGCCUAAUACAUGCAAGUCGAGCGAACAGACGAGGAGCUUGCUCCUCUGACGUUAGCGGCGGACGGGUGAGUAACACGUGGAUAACCUACCUAUAAGACUGGGAUAACUUCGGGAAACCGGAGCUAAUACCGGAUAAUAUAUUGAACCGCAUGGUUCAAUAGUGAAAGACGGUUUUGCUGUCACUUAUAGAUGGAUCCGCGCCGCAUUAGCUAGUUGGUAAGGUAACGGCUUACCAAGGCAACGAUGCGUAGCCGACCUGAGAGCGUCACCGGCCACAGGGGGACUGCGGGCGGGGCCGGGCUGCGAGGGGCGGGAGUAUUGGGGAAUAUUACGGCAUGGGUGGAAGCCUGAAGCAGCGGCGCAGCGUUCGGGAGGCCGGCCUUCGGGGUGUAAACCGAUGUCAGCAGGGAACAACGGCCAGUGACGGUACCUGAAGAAGAAGCACCGGCCAACUACGUG